rnacentral:rRNA from 1 species
GAUGAACGCUGGCGGCGUGCCUAAUACAUGCAAGUCGAACGCUGGAAAUCUAGCUUGCUAGAUUGAAGGAGUGGCGAACGGGUGAGUAAUACAUAAGCAACCUACCCACGAAGACUGGGAUAAUCUCUGGAAACGGGGACUAAUACCGGAUAGGUAAUCGGAAGGCAUCUUCUGAUUAUUAAAGGUUAAAAACACUGGUGGAUGGGCUUAUGGCGCAUUAGUUAGUUGGUGAGGUAACGGCCCACCAAGACGAUGAUGCGUAGCCGGCCUGAGAGGGUGAACGGCCACAUUGGGACUGGGACACGGCCCAGACUCCUACGGGAGGCAGCAGUAGGGAAUUUUCGGCAAUGGGGGAAACCCUGACCGAGCAACGCCGCGUGAGUGAUGACGGCCUUCGGGUUGUAAAGCUCUGUCGUAAGGGAAGAACGGUAGAUAGAGAAUAUCUAAAUGACGGUACCUUACCAGAAAGCCACGGCUAACUACGUG